CCACGCAACUGACCAGCACUCCGAUACACUCUAAAGCACUUAUGUAGAAAUUAAAUGAAAAAGGGAAAAAAGCACUAUUAUCUUGAUUUAUCAGGUUUAAAAUGGAAUAGAAGAUAUCUAGAAUUCACAACCCAGAGAGAUCUUUGGCACAAGAUGUCUCCUCUGUAGUCUGCCCCUGUGCCUCUGCCUGCUGCACUCUUCUGUUUCCUCUAUAGGCUCUGGAAUAGCAGAUGAGGACACUGCUCCAGUGGAUGAAGGAUUGUCUUCCG